GGAGUUGUGGCUCAGUGGUAGAGUGCUCGCCUAGCAUGUGUGAGACCCUGGGUUCGAUCCUCAGCACCA
rnacentral:tRNA from 1 species